rnacentral:rRNA from 1 species
UGGGGAAUUUUGGACAAUGGGCGCAAGCCUGAUCCAGCAAUGCCGCGUGCAGGAUGAAUGCCUUCGGGUUGUAAACUGCUUUUGUACGGAACGAAAAGACUCCUUCUAAUAAAGGGGGUCCAUGACGGUACCGUAAGAAUAAGCACCGGCUAACUACGUGCCAGCAGCCGCGGUAAUACGUAGGGUGCAAGCGUUAAUCGGAAUUACUGGGCGUAAAGCGUGCGCAGGCGGUUAUAUAAGUCAGAUGUGAAAUCCCCGGGCUCAACCUGGGACCUGCAUUUGAGACUGUAUAGCUAGAGUACGGUAGAGGGGGAUGAGAUUCCGCGUGUAGCAGUGAAAUGCGUAGAUAUGCGGAGGAACACCGAUGGCGAAGGCAAUCCCCUGGACCUGUACUGACGCUCAUGCACGAAAGCGUGGGAAGCAAACA